CUUUGUAAUUUUAUUUUAUUGGAACAUAUUAAAUAAGCUCUGAAUAUAUUAUAGCAUUCUUUUUUUCGGGUACCAUUUCCAAAAUAAUAAAAGUCAAGAAAAUAAACACAAAUCGGCGGCAGUGCACGGUUACAAGAUCAGGGGCCACAGGACUCAGGGGCCAAAACAGAGACCUUUAUUUACAGGGCGAAGAAAAGCUGCAAAAAUUUCAAAGAUUCAAGAGCAAAAGCAUUGCGGAUUAUUGUCAUCAACAAAAGGCGAGGUACCUGGGAGAUGAAACGCAUGAGGUACCAGAGAUGAGACGCACAGUCAUAGAGAGCCCUUAAUAGUCGAAGGCAGAAGCAUCAGACCACCGCUCCGGCUCGGUGUCCAUGAGAGACCUAGACCUUUCCAUGGGGGUGAAGUAGCAGGGUGACCGACUGCUGGGGACAUAAGCCCUUGAUUCGGGAGGUGCUACACGUCUGCUAAUUGUAUGCAAUGAGUCAAUGAUAUUGCAGUAGAGGACAUGUGAGCAGAGGUUCUGGGGCCCAGCAUCUAGGGGGUUGCGAUGCUCUGUGUCUGGGGGGAAUGAUUGCAUAGAAGGGGAGGGGACCUCUCUGUCUUCCACCUUAAUAUCGCUCUUGAAGGACAUUUCCAUAGAUCCAUCCGUGAUCAGUGGAGACGACUGAAUGGAAAACCAGUGAGUAUAAAACAAAAAAUAAUCACAGCCGGUCUAUCCCAUUAUAUGAAGCAGAGCUGAGUAGUAGUUGUGGGUUUGCAGUGUUUAUUAUACAAAGUAGCAGAGAACGGCAAAUAAAAAAUAAAUUAAAAAAAGUCUGGGGAAUGGCGUGGGGGUGUGUCAGUGUUAUACACAUUGAGGUAGUGUAAAGCAAUGUGAACCACCAGUGCAGGUGACAAUGUAGUGGAUGGGUGAGGGGCACACAAGGGGGUUAAGUGCUUAAGUUCACCAAAAGUGUCAGUAGCAUAACCGGGACAAAGAAGACAAAGUGCAGGUCACGGAAAAAGGACUGGGUCGUCAUCACCACCCUCAUCAUCUUUAAAGCUGUGCUAUGAACUCAGUGAUGGGACAUAAAGUGCUUCACGCUGAGGACUGGAGGUGGAAAUAGGAGGGGUAACGGGAGGGCAUAAAGUGCUUGCUUAGGGCGUGACACAGUUUAGAACCAAAAGUAUGGGGCACUGGACACAAGAUUGUCAGGUGAUGAAACAGCAGCUCUAAUGAAUAACCCAGGAACUGAGUGCUCUGCAGGGGCAGGUCUAAUACAGACCAGAGCAGCAGAGUGCAGUGCAGGGGCAGGUCUAAUACAGACCAGAGGAGCUGAGUGCAGUGCAGGGGCAGGUCUAAUACAGACCAGAGGAGCUGAAUGCAGUGCAGGGGCAGGUCUAUGGAUUAUCCCAGGAGCUGAAUGCUGCUCAGGGGCAGGUCUAAUACAGACCAGAGGAGCUGAGUGCAGGGGCAGGUCUAUGGAUUAUCCCAGGAGCUGAAUGCUGCUCAGGGGCAGGUCUUAUAAAGACCAGAGGAGCUGAAUGCAGUGCAGGAGCAGGUCUAAUGAAUAUCCCGGGAGCUGAGUGCAGUGCAGGGGCAGGUCUAUGGAUUAUCCCAGGAGCUGAAUGCUGCUCAGGGGCAGGUCUAAUGAAUAUCCCGGGAGCUGAAUGCAGUGCAGGGGCAGGUCUAUGGAUUAUCCCAGCAGCUGAAUGCUGCUCAGGGGCAGGUCUAAUGAAUAUCCCGGGAGCUGAAUACUCUGCAGGGGCAGCUACAAUACAGAUUCCAGGAGCUGAAUGCUCUGCAGGGGCAGCUACAAUACAGAUACCAGGAGCUGAAUGCUCUGCAGGGGCAGAUACAAUACAGAUUCCAGGAGCUGAAUGUUCUGCAGGGGCAGCUACAAUACAGAUUCCAGGAGCUGAAUGUUCUGCAGGGGCAUGGCUAAUGAAGAUCCUGGAAGCUCAAUGCUCUGCAGUCACCUGUUUAUUAAAUAAUUUACUUAUGUUAUACUCUAGUCACAUCCAGAGCUGCAGUCACAAAUCUGCUUUUCUCCUGACAGCUUGCAGGUGGAAGCACCUCACACUUCCAAUUGACCAUGCUGGUUCAUUACAUGUCAAACAGAUUCUCUGCUGCAGUGCAUUAUGGGAGAUGUAGUGUUUAAAACUUGUAAGACUAUGGAAAAGAAAAAACCUGACCUAAGCAGUGCAGCAGAGCGCUGAGGAUUAUGGGAUCUCACCAAGACUGCCGGAUAAACCAUGUGGAGGUUCAUCCAGACACCUGUAAGUAA